rnacentral:rRNA from 1 species
UACGAAGGGUGCAAGCGUUACUCGGAAUUACUGGGCGUAAAGCGUGCGUAGGUGGUUUGUUAAGUCUGAUGUGAAAGCCCUGGGCUCAACCUGGGAACUGCAUUGGAAACUGGCUUACUAGAGUGCGGUAGAGGGGUGUGGAAUUCCCGGUGUAGCAGUGAAAUGCGUAGAUAUCGGGAGGAACAUCUGUGGCGAAGGCGGCUCUCUGGGCAGAUACUGACGCUGAGACGCGAAAGCAUGGGGAGCAAACAGG